rnacentral:rRNA from 1 species
GAUGAACGCUGGCGGCGUGCUUAACACAUGCAAGUCGAGCGAAGCACUUUUGCAGUUUUCUUCGGAUCGAAGCAACUGUGACUGAGCGGCGGACGGGUGAGUAACGCGUGGGUAACCUGCCUCAUACAGGGGGAUCACAGUUGGAAACGGCUGCUAAUACCGCAUAAGCGCACAGUACCGCAUGGUACGGUGCGAAAAACUCCGGUGGUAUGAGAUGGACCCUCGUCUGAUUAGGUAGUUGGUGGGGUAACGGCCUACCAAGCCGACGAUCAGUAGCCGACCUGAGAGGGUGACCAGCCACAUUGGGACUGAGACACGGCCCAAACUCCUACGGGAGGCAGCGGUGGGGAAUAUUGCACAAUGAGGGAAACCCUGAUGCAGCGACGCCGCGUGAGCGAUGAAGUAUUUCGGUAUGUAAAGCUCUAUCAGCAGGGAAGGAAAUGACGGUACCUGACUAAGAAGCCCCGGCUAACUACGUGCCAGCCGCCGCCGUAA